rfam:Oryza sativa Japonica Group DNA, chromosome 11, cultivar: Nipponbare, complete sequence.
UUAGAAUGUACUCCCUCUAUCCCAAAAAGACCGUUUGACCGUCCGUCUUAUAUGAAAUUUUUUUAUGAUUAGUAUUUUCAUUAUUGUUAGAUGAUAAAACAUGAAUAAUACUUUAUGCAUGACUUAUCUUUUUAAAUUUUUUUCAUAUUUUUUUUAAAUAAGAUGAACAGUCAAACGUUAGACAUGGAAACCUAAGAAUUGAGUUACU